rnacentral:rRNA from 1 species
AGCAGCCGCGGUAAUUCCAGCUCCAAUAGCGUAUAUUAAAGUUGUUGCAGUUAAAAAGCUCGUAGUUGAAUUUCGGGAUCAAUUAAUUGGUCGUGCCUCUGGUACGUACUGAUUUUAUUGGUUUCUCCCUUCUGACGAACCAUGAUGUCAUUAAUUUGGUGUCGUGGAGAAUCAGGACUGUUACUUUGAAAAAUUAGAGUGCUUAAAGCAAGCUAACGCUUGAAUACAUUAGCAUGGAAUAAUGAAAUAGGACGUUUGACCCUAUUUUGUUGGUUUCUAGGAUCGACGUAAUGAUUAAUAGGGAUAGUUGGGGGCAUUAGUAUUCAAUUGUCAGAGGUGAAAUUCUUGGAUUUAUUGAAGACUAACUACUGCGAAAGCAUUUGCCAAGGAUGUUUUCAUUAAUCAAGAACGAAAGUUAGGGGAUCGAAGACGAUC